rnacentral:rRNA from 1 species
UACGGAGGGUGCGAGCGUUGUCCGGAAUCACUGGGCGUAAAGGGCGCGUAGGCGGCGCGGGCAGUCAACGGUGAAAGCUCGGAGCUCAACUCCGAGUCGGCCGUCGAUACUCCCGUGCUUGAGCACUGUAGAGGCAGGUGGAAUUCCGGGUGUAGCGGUGGAAUGCGUAGAGAUCCGGAAGAACACCGGUGGCGAAGGCGGCCCGCUGGGCAGUGGCUGACGCUGAGGCGCGACAGCGUGGGGAGCAAACAGG